rnacentral:rRNA from 1 species
CCUACGGGUGGCAGCAGCAGGGAAUUUUGCGCAAUGGGCGAAAGCCUGACGCAGCAACGCCGCGUGGGGGAUGAAGGCCUUCGGGUUGUAAACCCCUUUAGGGAGGGACGAAAUUGACGGUACCUCCAGAAUAAGCCCCGGCCAACUACGUGCCAGCAGCCGCGGUGAUACGUAGGGGGCGAGCGUUGUCCGGAAUCAUUGGGCGUAAAGAGCUCGUAGGCGGCUUAGUAAGUCGGUCGUGAAAGCCCGAGGCUCAACUUCGGGACUGCGGUCGAUACUGCUAUAGCUAGAGUUUGGUAGAGGAGAACGGAAUUCCCGGUGUAGCGGUGGAAUGCGCAGAUAUCGGGAGGAACACCUGUAGCGAAGGCGGUUCUCUGGGCCAAUACUGACGCUGAGGAGCGAAAGCGUGGGGAGCAAACAGGAUUAGAUACCCCUGUAGU